rnacentral:rRNA from 1 species
UUUUUGAGUGCCUAUAU